rnacentral:rRNA from 1 species
AUUGAACGCUGGCGGAAUGCUUUACACAUGCAAGUCGAACGGCAGCACGAGGGCAACCUUGGUGGCGAGUGGCGAACGGGUGAGUAAUACAUCGGAACGUGCCUAGUCGUGGGGGAUAACGUAGCGAAAGCUACGCUAAUACCGCAUACGAUCUAUGGAUGAAAGCGGGGGACCGUAAGGCCUCGCGCGAUUGGAGCGGCCGAUGGCAGAUUAGGUAGUUGGUGGGGUAAAGGCUCACCAAGCCUGCGAUCUGUAGCUGGUCUGAGAGGACGACCAGCCACACUGGAACUGAGACACGGUCCAGACUCCUACGGGAGGCAGCAGUGGGGAAUUUUGGACAAUGGACGCAAGUCUGAUCCAGCAAUGCCGCGUGCAGGACGAAGGCCUUCGGGUUGUAACUGCUUUUGUACUAGAACGAAAGGACUCUGGUUAAUACCUAGGGCGUCAUGACGGUACU